GGUGGGUUCGCAUAGUGGCCGAGUGCAGUCGCCUUGAAAGCGACCAGACCUAAACAGUCUCGUGGGUUCAAAUCCCACACCCACCG
rnacentral:tRNA from 1 species